GUGGGAGCAUGUGGUUUAAUUUGAUGCAACGCGAAGAACCUUACCUGGUCUUGACAUCCACAGAACUUUCCAGAGAUGGAUUGGUGCCUUCGGGAACUGUGAGACAGGUGCUGCAUGGCUGUCGUCAGCUCGUGUUGUGAAAUGUUGGGUUAAGUCCCGCAACGAGCGCAACCCUUAUCCUUUGUUGCCAGCGGUCCGGCCGGGAACUCAAAGGAGACUGCCAGUGAUAAACUGGAGGAAGGUGGGGAUGACGUCAAGUCAUCAUGGCCCUUACGACCAGGGCUACACACGUGCUACAAUGGCGCAUACAAAGAGAAGCGACCUCGUGAGAGCAAGCGGACCUCAUAAAGUGCGUCGUAGUCCGGAUUGGAGUUUGCAACUCGACUCCAUGAAGUCGGAAUCGCUAGUAAUCGUGGAUCAGAAUGCCAAGGGGAAUACGUUCCCGGGCCUUGUACACACCUCUCUUCACAACAUGGGAGUGGGUUGCAAAAGAAGUAGGUAGGUUAACCUCCGGGGGGGGCGCUUUAAACCAACUUUGGGUAUUACCCCGG
rnacentral:rRNA from 1 species